GCAGUCGAACGGUAACAGGAAACAGCUUGCUGUUUCGCUGACGAGUGGCGGACGGGUGAGUAAUGUCUGGGAAACUGCCUGAUGGAGGGGGAUAACUACUGGAAACGGUAGCUAAUACCGCAUAACGUCGCAAGACCAAAGAGGGGGACCCUCGGGCCUCUUGCCAUCGGAUGUGCCCAGAUGGGAUUAGCUUGUUGGUGGGGUAACGGCUCACCAAGGCGACGAUCCCUAGCUGGUCUGAGAGGAUGACCAGCCACACUGGAACUGAGACACGGUCCAGACUCCUACGGGAGGCAGCAGUGGGGAAUAUUGCACAAUGGGCGCAAGCCUGAUGCAGCCAUGCCGCGUGUAUGAAGAAGGCCUUCGGGUUGUAAAGUACUUUCAGCGGGGAGGAAGGGAGUAAAGUUAAUACCUUUGCUCAUUGACGUUACCCGCAGAAGAAGCACCGGCUAACUCCGUGCCAGCAGCCGCGGUAAUACGGAGGGUGCAAGCGUUAAUCGGAAUUACUGGGCGUAAAGCGCACGCAGGCGGUUUGUUAAGUCAGAUGUGAAAUCCCCGGGCUCAACCUGGGAACUGCAUCUGAUACUGGCAAGCUUGAGUCUCGUAGAGGGGGGUAGAAUUCCAGGUGU
rnacentral:rRNA from 1 species